UACGUAGGGGGCAAGCGUUGUCCGGAAUCAUUGGGCGUAAAGCGCGUGUAGGCGGCUCGGUAAGUCCGCUCUGAAAGUCCAAGGCUCAACCUUGGGAUGCGGGUGGAUACUGCCGGGCUCGAGUCCGGAAGAGGCGAGUGGAAUUCCUGGUGUAGCGGUGAAAUGCGCAGAUAUCAGGAGGAACACCGGUGGCGAAGGCGGAUCUCUGGGCCUUGCCUGACGCUGAGGCGCGAAAGCUAGGGGAGCGAACAGG
rnacentral:rRNA from 1 species